GCAGUUGUAGAUAGCCUUAGCUGUGCAUUGCUCUUUUUGCAUCAGUCAAUAUUAUCAGAUCGAACAAAGCUUGGAAGGUCUCUUAGACAGUAAAAAAAAAACAGUAUAAUAGGAAGUUCAAGUUCUUGAGCAGCUUUCAUAGUGAAUGUUGACGUGAAAUCAUCUGUAACAAUGCAAGUCAAUGGAGGCACAUUCAUGGAAGAAGAGUAUCUUUAAUCUUAACAAGGAGUACAAGAAAUGACUGCGAAGAAUCUUUCAUAACAGAUUCACAAAGAGAAGGUAUAUCUUAGGAAGAAUCACGAUCAGAAGGAGGAAGACCAUCAGGAAUAUUUUGGAAUUGGAAGUCAGUGGAGCAGGGAUAAAAAGUGCACGAGGCUUAUUCGCAACAUUCUUGGAAGAGUCCAUCUCAUUAUCUUUCUUCACUCAGGUUCACAAUUCCACCGCUCAAAGGACUCCGCCUCUCUGAUUUUUAGACUAAAGGAAAAGGAACCAAUUUUAGUUCAUAGGAGUCUCUAUUUGCUAGCGUUGGACUCCAUUAUUUAUACUAUUAGUCAGAUAGGCAAUUAUUCAGUUCUUGCAAGAAAGAAAGAAAAAGAGAGGAAUGAUGAUAACAUUUGAUAAUUAGCUAAGAAGAUAAGAACAUUAAGUGAGUUCUCUAGGCUGAAAGAAUAUAUUUGCUUACGUUGCCUUCUUUAA